rnacentral:tRNA from 1 species
ACCUAGCUGGCUCAGUCGGUAGAGUGUGCGACUCUUAGUUUCAGGGUGGUGAGUUCGAGCCCCACGUUGGGUG